GCCUGUCUGGCUCAGUUGGUAGAGCAUAUGACUCUUGAUCAUGACGUUGUGAGUUUGAGCCCCAUGUUGGGUG
rnacentral:tRNA from 1 species